UCUUAUAGAUGAGCAACAGAAGUGGUUUUUUGACAUAGAAUCUCCUCCUAGUGAAGAUGCUGUGAA
rnacentral:pre_miRNA from 1 species